rnacentral:misc_RNA from 1 species
AAGUCGUAACAAGGUUUCCGUAGGUGAACCUGCGGAAGGAUCAUUACCUGGCCUAGGCCGCUGCUCGUCGGCGUGCCGCUCGUGCCUAUUACCUUGACUAUGCGCACCUUUGUUGUUCCCUCGGCAGUUCGCUGCCGCCAGGGACCCCCUAAACCCUCAUGUAAUACAGUACACUUCUGAAAACAGACCUAAUUAUUUACAA